rnacentral:rRNA from 1 species
AGAAAUCGUUAAGGGCGUAUGGCGGAUGCCUAGGCUUUCAGAGGCGAAGAAGGACGUGGUAAGCUGCGAAAAGCUACGGGGAUUGGCACACACGAAAUGAUCCGUAGAUAUCCGAAUGGGGCAACCCAGUAAGUUGAAGACUUACUACACCGUAAGGUGAGCGAACCCGGAGAACUGAAACAUCUAAGUACCCGGAGGAAAAGAAAUCGAAGAGAUUCCGUAAGUAGUGGCGAGCGAAAGCGGAUUAGCCCAAAAGUUUAUACAUGUUUAGUGGAAUGUUUUGGAAAGAGCAAUCAUAGAAGGUGAAAAUCCUGUACACGAAAGGCAUAUAUAGAUGAAGAAAGAGUAGGGCGGGACACGUGAAAUCCUGUCUGAAUAUGGGGGGACCAUCCUCCAAGGCUAAAUACUCCUGAAAGACCGAUAGUGAACAAGUACUGUGAAGGAAAGGUGAAAAGCACUUCGAAUAGAAGGGUGAAAGAGAACCUGAAACCGUACGCCUACAAGCGGUCGGAGCAGUUAUAUACUGUGACGGCGUGCCUUUUGCAUAAUGAGCCUACGAGUUAAUUUUACUAGCGAGGUUAAGGCAUUAAGUGCCGGAGCCGGAGCGAAAGCGAGUCUGAAUAGGGCGAAUAGUUAGUGGGAUUAGACGCGAAACCUUGUGAUCUACCCAUGGGCAGGUUGAAGCACUGGUAACACAGUGUGGAGGACCGAACCGGUUGACGUUGAAAAGUCUUCGGAUGACCUGUGGGUAGGGGUGAAAGGCCAAUCAAACUGGGAGAUAGCUCGUACUCCCCGAAAUGCAUUUAGGUGCAGCGUUGAUUUAGUUUAUUAGAGGUAGAGCUACUGAUUGGAUGCGGGGGUUUCACCGCCUACCAAUUCCUGACAAACUCCGAAUGCUAAUAAAUAAUGAUCAGCAGUGAGGGCAUGGGUGCUAAGGUCCAUGUCCGAGAGGGAAAGAACCCAGACCAACAGCUAAGGUCCCUAAAUAUAUGCUAAGUUGAAACAACGCGGUUGAACUGCAUUGACAGCUAGGAUGUUGGCUUGGAAGCAGCCAUUCAUUUAAAGAGUGCGUAACAGCUCACUAGUCGAGCGGUUCGGCAUGGAUAAUAAUCGGGCAUAAGCAUAUUACCGAAGCUAUGGCAACGAAAGUUGGGUAGGGGAGCAUUCUAUCGGCGCAGAAGCAUCACUGUGAGGUGAUGUGGAGCUUAUAGAAAAGAAAAUGUAGGCAUAAGUAACGAUAAAGCAGGCGAGAAACCUGCUCACCGAAAGACUAAGGGUUCCUCAGCCAUGCUAAUCAGCUGAGGGUUAGUCGGGACCUAACGCGAACCCGAGAGGGGAAGUGGAUGGACAAUGGGUUAAUAUUCCCAUACUUGCUCACGAAUAAAGGGGACGGUUCAGCUAGACUACUGGAGACUGACGGAAUAGUCAAGACCUAGCCUACGGGCGAAGUUGUUGUAGAGUAACUGGAUCCAAGAAAAGCCGAAGUGAAGCAACCCGUACCAUAAACCGACACAGGUAGUCGAGGAGAGAAUCCUAAGGUGCUCGAGUGAGUCGUGGCUAAGGAACUAGGCAAAAUAGUCUCGUAACUUCGGAAUAAGAGACGCCAACAGCGAUGUUGGCCGCAGUGAAGAGGCCCAGGCGACUGUUUAUCAAAAACACAGGACUCUGCUAAAUCGAAAGAUGCUGUAUAGGGUCUGACACCUGCCCGGUGCUGGAAGGUUAAGGAAGGUGCUUAGCGUAAGCGAAGGCAUUGACUGAAGCCCCAGUAAACGGCGGCCGUAACUAUAACGGUCCUAAGGUAGCGAAAUUCCUUGUCGGGUAAGUUCCGACCUGCACGAAUGGUGUAACGAUCUGGGCACUGUCUCAACCGCGAGCUCGGUGAAAUUGUAGUAUCGGUGAAGAUGCCGAUUACCCGCAACGGGACGAAAAGACCCCGUGAACCUUUACUAUAGCUUUGCAUUGGAUUUGGGUAACAAAUGUGUAGGAUAGGCCGGAGGCUGAGAAGUGGGCACGCCAGUGCUUGUGGAGCCGCCGUUGAAAUACGGCCCUUUUGUUAUUUGGGUUCUAACUCGCUUGAGCGAGGACAUUGCAUGGUGGGUAGUUUGACUGGGGUGGUCGCCUCCAAAAGCGUAACGGAGGCUUCUAAAGGUUCCCUCAGCACGCUUGGUAACCGUGCGUAGAGUG